rnacentral:rRNA from 1 species
CGAUUACGGGGCGCUGCAGGCGCGAAAACUCUGCAAUAAGCGAAAGCUUGACAGGGUUAUUCUGAGUGAUUUCCGCUAAGGAAAUCUUUUGGCACCUCUAAAAAUGGUGCAGAAUAAGGGGUGGGCAAGCCUGGUGUCAGCCGCCGCGGUGAUACCAGCACCCCGAGUGGUCGGGACGAUUAUUGGGCCUAAAGCAUCCGUAGCCGGUUCUACAAGUCUUCCGUUAAAUCCACCUGCUCAACAGUUGGGCUGCGGAGGAUACUAUAGAGCUAGGAGGCGGGAGAGGCAAGCGGUACUCAGUGGGUAGGGGUAAAAUCCGUUGAUCCAUUGAAGACCACCAGUGGCGAAGGCGGCUUGCCAGAACGCACUCGACGGUGAGGGAUGAAAGCUGGGGGAGCAAACCGGAUUAGAUACCCGGGUAGUCCCAGCUGUAAACGAUGCAGACUCGGUGAUGAAUAGGCUUCGUGCCUAUUCAGUGCCGCAGGGAAGCCGUUAAGUCUGCCGCCUGGGGA